CGCUGCCCUGUCGCCACCUGGGCCUGCCGCCGCCGACGAUCACCUGGCUGCGCAGCGGCGACCCGCUCCCCACGUCCGACCGGCUGCGGCAGAUGCAGAACGGCUCGCUGGUCAUCAGCUCGGUGACGGCCGAGGACGACGGCGUGUACACGUGUGACGUCACCAAUCGCCACGGCAGGGACAACAUCACGUACGACGUGGUGGUGAUCAGCCCACCGUCGGCGCCGGUGCCUUACGUCCGGCACGUGACCAACAGCAGCGUGCGGCUGGCGUGGACGCCGGGCGCACCUGGCCGGCUG